rnacentral:rRNA from 1 species
GACGAACGCUGGCGGCGUGCUUAACACAUGCAAGUCGAACGAGUGGCGAACGGGUGAGUAACACGUGGGUGACCUGCCCUCCCCUUCGGGAUAAGCCUGGGGAACUGGGUCUAAUACCGGAUAGUGUGGGAUGGGCGCGCGGCCUAUCGGCUUGUUGGUGGGGUAAUGGCUACCAGGGCGCGAGGGGGAGCCGGCCUGAGAGGGUGGAGGGGCACAUUGGGACUGAGACGCGGCCCAUACUCCUACGGGAGGCAGCAGUGGGGAAUAUUGCACAAUGGGCGGAAGCCUGAUGCAGCGACGGCGCGUGGGGGAUGAGGGCCUUCGGGUGGUAAAGUACUUUCAGCGAGGAGGGAGUACUCGCAGAAGAAGCACCGGCUAACUCCGUGCCAGCAGCCGCGGUAAUAC